CGCUCCAUAGAUGCUGCUGCACCCGCUGAGUUUCUCCAGCUUUUUUGUGUACCUUCGAUUUUCCAGCAUCUACAGUUCCUUCUUAAACAUAGUAGAAGACGGACAGGUGGAGUGUCCUGUUACUGUGCUGUGAACUAUAAUUUCAUUAAUAUGUGUCUUUCAGGAAUUACGUGAGGAAUACAAGGUCACUGCUUUACCAGCAUUCAUCUUUAUCAAGGACGGAAACGAGGUAGCCAGUGUUGUUGGAGCAAAUGCGGAUGACGUUGAGAAACUAAUCCAGCAACAUAGAGGGAUGCAACAGCAGCAAUGCUCUGGUCAUGCCCCGCAAUAAAUACUUUCAGCACCUGCCCCUGCUGUGAAAUGGCUGGAACAAUAUGAACGCUAUUAAUGCACUAUGUGAUCCAUGAUGUAAAAUAAUAAAAGUACUGCACACAA